AACAUGGGGGGGAGGUGAUUGUGUAGUGGUUAAGGGAUUGGACUUGAGAUAAGAAGAUCCUCGGUUCAAAUCCCAGCCUGACUGGAAAAUCACUAAGGGCCCUUGGGCAAGGUCUUUAAUCCCCUAUUGCUCCUGGUGUGUAAGUUGUGUUUAUGAAUG